AUGGAGAUGCGCGCCGUCUCCAACCCCUCCGAGAAAAGGGUCGCUGUUGUUACCGGAGGGAACAAAGGAAUUGGGCUGGAGGUAUGCAAGCAGCUGGCCUCCAAGGGCGUCGUCGUCGUCCUGACGGCGAGAGACGAGACGAGGGGUAAUGAAGCGGCGCGCCGGCUGCACGCGUCCGGGCUAUCCGAUGUGGUGUAUCACAAGCUCGAUGUCAGUGAUCCAUCCAGCGCUGCCCGCCUGGCUGACUUUGUGAAGAACAAGUUCGGCAAGCUAGAUUUAUUGAUCAACAACGCAGGAGUUAUAGGUGCAACCGCAGAGAUUGACACCACGGCACCACUUCAGGAUGUGCUUGUAGGCAGGAAUGCAACGGAGAGGCUCCAGUGGUUACUAGAGCACUCCACGGAGACCUACGACGAAGCUGAAGAAUGCUUGAGAAUAAACUACUUCGGCACCAAGUACGUCACGGAAGCACUCCUCCCUCUCCUUCAGGCCUCCUCUGGCGGAAGACUUGUCAACGUGUCGUCAAACUACGGAUUACUCCGAUAUUUCAGCGGCGAGGACCUCAAGCAGGAGCUGAACAACAUCGAAAACCUGACGAUAGAGAGGCUAGAUGAGAUGUCAAGAUUGUUCCUGAAUGGCUACAAGAAUGGCCUACUGAAAUCUCAAGGAUGGCCUGCUGAUUCAGAGUACUUGGCCUACAAGGUGUCCAAGGCUCUGAUCAAUGGCUACACGAGGAUAAUGGCAAAGAAUUUCCCGGCGUUGCGCGCCAACUCCGUGCACCCUGGCUAUUGCAUGACUGACAUCAACUACGACACUGGAGAACUGACGGCGGAGGAAGGUGCCGGUAGCAUUGUCAUGGUGGCCCUCUUACCGGCAGGAGGACCAACAGGCGUGUUCUUCUACCGUAGUGAAGUUUCACCAUUCGUGUAA
rnacentral:rRNA from 1 species